UGAAGCUAUUUGCUUGUGGAUUAUUUGAAAGACACAGGCUUAUGCAAAAGAAAAACGAAAUCAUCAUGAGAGUCUCAAUACCUUCACAGAAGUGAAGCAGCAGCAACCAAAUGAAUUAGGAACGUGAUUCCUAGAGAAUGGCAAGACCAAUCCUUCAACGACUUCUUCAGCAUUUCUGAAACAUAUGGAAGAUGGCCCAUUGUGUUCUCUUAAUUCUUUGAUAAUCUGGACAUUGACUUUUCCAUUAUAUGACCUGGACUUGUGGGCAUCAUGUUGUAAUGCACCUGUUCAGAAACCUCCCUGUACCAAUAUGUAUCAUUUCAAGAGACUCCUUUGCCUCCACAAAAAAGGACACAGUUGUGUACCUCUUCCCAUUUACAGUGCCUAAAAUUAUUUGAGCAGUUUUUCACCUCUUCUCUGAUAAACACUUUAUUCGUCUUUAAAAAGAAAAGAAAAAAGGAAAAUAAAACUUUUAUUGAGAUCCUAA